rnacentral:rRNA from 1 species
AACCUGCCGUAUGCAGGGGGACAACAGUCAGAAAUGACUGCUAAUACCGCAUAAGCACACAAUGCUGCAUGGCAUGGUGUGAAAAGAUUUAUCGGCAUACGAUGGCCCCGCGUCUGAUUAGCCAGUUGGCAGGGGUAAUGGCCUACCAAAGCAACGAUCAGUAGCCGGCUUGAGAGAGUGACCGGCCACAUUGGGACUGAGACACGGCCCAGACUCCUACGGGAGGCAGCAG